rnacentral:lncRNA from 1 species
ACUGAAUAGCAGAGAGAUUUUGGCUUUCAUUCCAGAAUGAUGUCUCACAGAAAGUCAACUCGUGUUCCAGGGCACGAGUAAAGAUAUCAACCCAUCUAUCUGUAGAAAAUUGCCAGAAACUGUCACAAAAUAAAAAAUGAGAGAAGGCCUGAAUUACGACAGUCCUGGUGGGGUUCUACAAGGAUAACACUUAAAAGCCAUCGAAGCUUCAACGGGACCAGUGUCUCCCCGUUUCGUGGGGUGUAGAGCAAGGUGUGGGAGGAGCGUUUGGCAUGUCAAGUCUCUGCUCUACAGUGGAUCUCCACGUCCCGGCUUCCAGUGGACAGCCCUGUGAGAUGGCAGCAUGAGGGAGAGGAGAGAGGACUAUUUUACCAAGAUUUUAAGACUUUCAAACAACCAGGGAAGGCUUCUGUGGACAGGCUGUCUCUGCACUAGGACUAAAGAACCAGAACUGUUCAGAAAGAGAGAAGAGCCCAGCACCUUAUACUCAGGAGAUACUGAAAAACAUCAUAUAAGGUGUUUACUGUUGAGAGAAAAGUACACAUCAGAGGAUGCCCAUUAUUGAUAUAGAGAAUCUGAUGGACAAGAGAAUCCAGAAUCUCUGCAAUGGGCAGAAGAGAGGACCAGACUUCAUGGUUGAUCUCCCCACAGACCAUACCAACAGGGCAAAGCCCUU